AGCGAACGCUGGCGGCAUGCUUAACACAUGCAAGUCGCACGGGCGGGGCAACUCCGUCAGUGGCGGACGGGUGAGUAACGCGUAGGAAUCUAUCCUUGAAUGGGGGACAACCGUGGGAAACUACGGCUAAUACCGCAUGAUGCCUGAGGGCCAAAGACGAAAGUCGUUUGAGGAGGAGCCUGCGUCUGAUUAGGUAGUUGGUGGGGUAAAGGCCUACCAAGCCUGCGAUCAGUAGCUGGUCUGAGAGGAUGAUCAGCCACAUUGGGACUGAGACACGGCCCAAACUCCUACGGGAGGCAGCAGUGGGGAAUAUUGGACAAUGGGCGAAAGCCUGAUCCAGCAAUGCCGCGUGUGUGAAGAAGGUCUUCGGAUUGUAAAGCACUUUUGGCAGGGACGAUGAUGACGGUACCUGCAGAAUAAGCCCCGGCUAACUUCGUG
rnacentral:rRNA from 1 species